GGACGCUUAACCAACGGAGCCCCCCAGCACUCACAGCCAGUAGACUUGGUAGAUACUGACUCACGUCCAGGUGGCAAGCAGUUCGCAGGGGGAAGUAACACUACACACCCUGGAAAACCGCUAGUGUGGAGAAGGACUGCACAGAGCUGACCACGCUUCUACAGAUGGUUCCUAACUGAUGCCUGGAGUCCAUGACACCCACCCACCAGACAUGAUGGCACACAGCUCUCUGUUGGGACCUAGAGCACUGCUCCUCGACCACCCUGAGGCGCUGCGACAUCCCAGAAAUAAAUAAAACAAACAAACAAAAAGCAACCCAUGUGGCUCCUCUCAGGGAAACCUCCGGAUCCAGACACAAACCUGGACAUCCAGGUCACAAGGUUAGUCCCACAAAAAGUGCGGCGCUGCACUCCAUCCUAGGAGGCGUUGUGCCCAAAACCAGAGUGACAGCUUCCAUCCACACAGGAGCACAGAGUUUGGGGCACAGUUGGAAGAAACUGGCAGUGACCAACAGGAUGAGGGUCUUGGACAGACCUGCGGCUGAAGGCUUUCCCGCAUUCAGUGCACUUGUGAGGUCUAGCUGGGCCGUGGAGCGUCUGGUGGUCUGUGA